GUAAUAAUAAAUAUGUAAAUGAGAAAAUGGAAAGAAGGCACAGAAGUCGACAUAUCUUUUAAAAGACCAGAAAACCAAAUGAAUGAAAUGCUUACAAAUAAAGUGCACGUGGAAUUACAAGAAUUGGCUCCUGACAACCAAAAUAAUUUAUGUACCAACAGUGCAGAAAGUCAACUGGAACUCCUUGUCCUAGUUAAUUUAUGAGGAAAAGCCAUUGAUCAACUAAAACAAAGCUGCUAAUAUAGAAAGAAUGUUCCAUGCCAUAUGAUCUUUUGUGGUAUUAAUCUGAGACAAUGAGUUCUACAUUGUGCUCCCAAGAAAUGAGUAAACAGCUAAAAGCAUGAUGCUUGCGCACAAAGAGCAGUUACCCCCAGGAUGCACAAAAUUUACAUUACAUCUAUGACUACAAUCUGCUAAUAUUGUUUCACAUUCUAAUUUCUAGCUAGUUAUUUCAUCUAAUAUUGUUAAAUUCUGCACACUUUUUGUGCUUCUAUUUUAUAUUAGAGAAUAGUUAAAUGGAACCAAAUAGAGACUAG
rnacentral:misc_RNA from 1 species